rnacentral:tRNA from 1 species
AAUGAAGCGCCUGUACGAAAGGGCUAUCUUGAUAGGAUAAAUAAUGUGUAACCUACACCUUCAUUA